rnacentral:rRNA from 1 species
GACGGGAACCCGCACAAGCGGUGGAGUAUGUUGUUUAAUUCGAGGAUACACGAAGAACCUUACCAGGUCUUGACAUACCAUUGACCGGUCUAGAGAUAGACUUUUCGCUUUCGGGCGACAAUGGAUACAGGUGGUGCAUGGUUGUCGUCAGCUCGUGCCGUGAGGUGUUGGGUUAAGUCCCGCAACGAGCGCAACCCCUAUUGAUAGUUGCUAAUAUUAAGUUAAGGACUCUAUUGAGACUGCCAGCGACAAGCUGGAGGAAGUGGGGAUGACGUCAAAUCAUCAUGCCCUUUAUGACCUGGGCUACAAACGUACUACAAUGGCCAGAUACAAAGAGAUGCGAAGCCGCGAGGUGGAGCGAACCUCAUAAAAAUGGUCUCAGUUCGGAUUGGAGUCUGCAACUCGACUCCAUGAAGUCGGAAUCGCUAGUAAUCGUGGAUCAGAAUGCCACGGUGAAUACGUUCCCGGGCCUU